UACGUAGGGUGCGAGCGUUGUCCGGAUUUAUUGGGCGUAAAGAGCUCGUAGGCGGUUUGUCGCGUCGGCCGUGAAAUCUCCACGCUUAACGUGGAGCGUGCGGUCGAUACGGGCAGACUUGAGUUCGGUAGGGGAGACUGGAAUUCCUGGUGUAGCGGUGAAAUGCGCAGAUAUCAGGAGGAACACCAGUGGCGAAGGCGACUUUCUGGGCUGUUCCUGACGCUGAGGCGCGAAAGCCAGGGGAGCAAACGGG
rnacentral:rRNA from 1 species